CGGGGUGUAGCGCAGUUUGGUAGCGCGCGUCGUUCGGGACGACGAGGUCGCUGGUUCGAAUCCAGUCACCCCGACCA
rnacentral:tRNA from 1 species